UACGUAGGGUGCGAGCGUUUGUCCGGAAUUACUGGGCGUAAAGAGCUCGUAGGUGGUUUGUCGCGUUGUUCGUGAAAACUCACAGCUUAACUGUGGGCGUGCGGGCGAUACGGGCAGACUGGAGUACUGCAGGGGAGACUGGAAUUCCUGGUGUAGCGGUGGAAUGCGCAGAUAUCAGGGAGGAACACCGGUGGCGAAGGCGGGUCUCUGGGCAGUAACUGACGUGGAGGAGCGAAAGCGUGGGGAGCGAACAGG
rnacentral:rRNA from 1 species